UACGGAGGGUCCAAGCGUUAUCCGGAUUUAUUGGGUUUAAAGGGUGCGUAGGCGGCCGAUUAAGUUAGAGGUGAAAUCCCGUGGCUCAACCACGGAACUGCCUCUGAUACUGGUUGGCUAGAAAAUGGUUGCUGUGGGCGGAAUGUGUAGUGUAGCGGUGAAAUGCUUAGAGAUUACACAGAACACCGAUUGCGAAGGCAGCUCACAAAACCAAUUUUGACGCUGAGGCACGAAAGCGUGGGGAGCAAACAGG
rnacentral:rRNA from 1 species